UGAAACCUCACUUCAUCCUUAUGUAAUGCA
rnacentral:piRNA from 1 species